rnacentral:rRNA from 1 species
GGAGUUAGCCGGUGCUUCUUCUGUGAGUGAUGUCCUUCCUGCCGGUUAUUGACCCGCAGGCCUUCUUCCUCACUGAAAGUGCUUUACAACCCGAAGGCCUUCUUCACACACGCGGCAUGGCUGGAUCAGGGUUGCCCCCAUUGUCCAAUAUUCCCCACUGCUGCCUCCCGUAGGAGUCUGGGCCGUGUCUCAGUCCCAGUGUGGCUGAUCAUCCUCUCAGACCAGCUACGGAUCGUCGCCUUGGUGAGCCGUUACCUCACCAACCAGCUAAUCCGACAUAGGCUCAUCCGAUAGCGCGAGGCCCGAAGGUCCCCCGCUUUCCCCCGUAGGGCGUAUGCGGUAUUAGCCUGGGUUUCCCCAGGUUAUCCCCCACUACCGGGCAGAUUCCUAUGCAUUACUCACCCGUCCGCCGCUCGCCACCAGGGAGCAAGCUCCCCGUGCUGCCGCUCGACUUGCAUGUGUAGCNCGCCGCCAGCGUCAUCUGAGCAGAAUACAACUACUGA